AGCUCUAGAGAGAGAUUACAGAGGUAUGAGAGCCCUAGUGCACAGAGAGAGAGUGCAGGGGUGUAAGAGCUCUAGAGAGAGAAUGCAGAGGUGUGAGAGCCCUAGUACAGAGAGAGAGUGCAGGGGUGUGAGAGCUCUAGAGAGAGAAUGCAGAGGUGUGAGAGCCCUAGUGCACAAAUAGAGAGAGUGCAGGGGUGUGGAAGCUCUAGAUAUAGAGUGCAGAGGUAUGAGGGCCCUAGAGAGAGAAGCUCGGGGAUGAUAGGGAACAUAGGAGAGAGAGAGAGAGAGAGAGAGAGAGAGAG
rnacentral:lncRNA from 1 species